AUGCUUCCUUCCUUCUCCCUCUACCCCUCUCUCUUUCUUUCUUGGUCUCACUGUGUAGCCCAGGCUUGCCUCAAGCUCACCAACCUCCUGAUUCUGCCCUCCAAGUGCUGGUAUUCUAGGCAGAUGUCUGGUUUGGAAUUCAAGAUUCUGAGAUCUCUGCAUCCAGACAUCUACCGGCGCUGCAGUGAGAAGAGGGAGCAUGGAGCAUUCCUUACAGACAAGAUGCCAAGGAAGUCGUAGCUGGGACAAACCUGAGAAUACUUCCUCCAAAGCUACGAAUGUUAUCCUGUAGGACCUGGGCGGCAUGGAGGUCCUGGUCAGCCCGAGCUACAGAGAUCAGACCUUGUCAGAAAAAAAGAAAAAGGAAGAAAGAACGAACGAAAGAAAGAAAGAAGUCAGAAAGACAGAAAGAGAGAGAGAGAGAGGACAUGAAGGAGCUAGAGCUUCUCUCUUCUCUCCCCACCUUUAAAGUCUCCCCAAAGAGAGAAAACUACAUCUUUUACAGUUGCUUUAAAAAUUGCAGUUGAUUUUGAUCUUUUGUGUGUUUAGGGGGAGGGGAACACUUGGGGGAGGAGACAUUUUUGAGAGUCAGUUCUCUACUGUGUGGGUCCAAGGAAUCAGGCCUUCAGGUGACUGGUUGAGUCACCACACAAACAAUGGGGUAAG